GGCCAAGAGCUUUUUCCCAACUGGGGUGCUGUGUUCGAGUCCCGAGGGAAGUUUGAUACUCAAGCCUCUAUCUUCAGCUUCAACGGACAGGACGUCAUGAAGAGCAUGAAUUGGCCCAGGAAAUUAGCUUGGCAUGGGGGCGGUUCUUGGGGCGAGGCGUCCCAUUUCCACUGUCACGCCUGGUCUUCGGCUAGCUCCCUUCAAUUGGGGAUGGCUUCCAACCUGGAAAAAGGCCACCUCUUGGAUCAGCGGAAAGUUCCUUGUGACCAUCAAUUCAUUCUUCUUUGCAUUGAAACCACCUCGCACACUCUGUUUUCUACUUAAAGCUGCUCGCUUUUCCCCGGCCAAUUUUUAGCGUUCACCCGAUGGAAAUUCAAUGCGCCAUUCAAUUUAUUGCAAUACUUUCUUGAAAGAUGGCCCAAAAUUGGACUCUGGAAAGUAACAUUGACGUUUACGUCAAAAGAUUUUAUUCUCGACCAGGCCUGCUUUGCUCCGGAUUAUCACCUUAUAAGUCUACUUUGUCCAACUGUUGCCCGUACGUAAACAAGUCUUCCACUACUUACUCUCUGCAGUAAAUCCAAGUGCUCUCAAUUCGUACUAUUUGUUAUGCACUUACAUGCACACGCCUCUUUGACAACCAAGUCUUCCAUUCACCUCAACCACAAAGAUAUAUCGAUGAUGAUAUCGAUGAGCACAACAUAUUUGUGUCAAGGGUAAGGGCAACUUCAGUUCCUCUAUCACGUCUGCCCUAAUGUACUAUGUUUGAUAUCAAACACCGUUUAAAGUUAUGCACAAAUUCUGUUCUAGUUAUAUUCAGCUUUUUUGGAAUAAAUACGAUUGAAGUUUU